UGAACGCUGGCCGCGUGCCUAAUACAUGCACGUCGAGCGAACAGACGAGGAGCUUGCUCCUCUGACGUUAGCGGCGGACGGGUGAGUAACACGUGGAUAACCUACCUAUAAGACUGGGAUAACUUCGGGAAACCGGAGCUAAUACCGGAUAAUAUAUUGAACCGCAUGGUUCAAUAGUGAAAGACGGUUUUGCUGUCACUUAUAGAUGGAUCCGCGCCGCAUUAGCUAGUUGGUAAGGUAACGGCUUACCAAGGCAACGAUGCGUAGCCGACCUGAGAGGGUGAUCGGCCACACUGGAACUGAGACACGGUCCAGACUCCUACGGGAGGCAGCAGUAGGGAAUCUUCCGCAAUGGGCGAAAGCCUGACGGAGCAACGCCGCGUGAGUGAUGAAGGUCUUCGGAUCGUAAAACUCUGUUAUUAGGGAAGAACAAAUGUGUAAGUAACUAUGCACGUCUUGACGGUACCUAAUCAGAAAGCCACGGCUAACUACGUG
rnacentral:rRNA from 1 species